rnacentral:lncRNA from 1 species
UUUCCCCAGAGCACGCUGCCUCUGGUCCAAACACCAGGCCAUUGUGACCCUUCCAUUCCGGGAGGGGAACGCGCAUUUCUUCUGAGAGCAAAUGAACAAAUAACUCCCAGCGGUUUUUUUCUUUCCUUAAUAGCUUCUGUGUGGAUUUUAACAAGUAAACCUUUCCAACACUGUCUCCAGGCCGUGCAUUUACGCUGCAACGAAAGGCGGCAAGCGGGCCAAGAGCAGAUGGUUUCUAAAAGGAAAUCCUAGCCCCUUGAGGUCUGCAGACCCCUCAGAAAGUCGCCUAACCUCUUCCCGCCGCCACUGUAAAAUGGGGGUGAGAAUACUACCGCUGGGAACGCAAGGGGAUGGCGAGCACCGAGAAGCGCGCGAAGACCGACAGGCACGACCGGGGUGCGUCAGGGGCUGCGCUCUCCGGGCGCAGGACCCGCGCGUGCGAGGGAGCGCGGGACCCCGGCCCCGGCGCGUGGUCUGCGCGCGCCCGGCCGUGCGUGCGGCUGCGGGGAGGCUGCGUGUGCGCGAGGAGGGAGCGCCGGCCGCGGCGUCAGAGCAGGGUUUGCGCGGCUCGCGUUCACAGCAAAUCUGAGUGUUUUAACUACAGCAUGGAAUAUAGAAAACAACAAAGAAUGUCAGCUAAUGUUUUAAUCUUACCUGAAAUUCUACAGGUAAGUUCAUCGUAAUAAUUUUUUAAUUAUCCUGAUUGGUUAAAAUGCCCAUAAUAGUCUCCUUUACAAGAUUUAAGUAUCAUUUUACUC